rnacentral:rRNA from 1 species
GGGGGGCAAGCGUUGUUCGGAAUUACUGGGCGUAAAGGGCUCGUAGGGGGCAAACUAAGUCAGACGUGAAAUCCCUCAGCUUAACUGGGGAACUGCGUCUGAUACUGGAUGGCUUGAGUUUGGGAGAGGGAUGCGGAAUUCCAGGUGUAGCGGUGAAAUGCGUAGAUAUCUGGAGGAACACCGGUGGCGAAGGCGGCAUCCUGGACCAAUACUGACACUGAGGAGCGAAAGCCAGGGGAGCAAACGGG